GUUCCCUCGAAAUAAUUAUUUCGUUCCCUCGAUUUAGGAUAUCGAGCGAACGAAUUAAGUAUUUCGUUCCCUCGAAAUAAUCAUAUUAGAAAUCGAAAUACAAUUUCGUGAUUAAAGUCUAAAUCUCUGGCCCAUCAAAGCCAGUGAGGAGAGACGGACAUGCAGCUGUUUUAUAAUAGAUCCAUGCAGCAGCAGCAGCAGCAGCAGCAGCACCGGGACCAGCUACAACAUCUUGGAGUGGAAGGGGCCGUCUAUGUGCUGGAGUUAACAGUGGCUGAGUCGCAACGCUCUGACAUCCACGUUGACAUUAUACAGCAAUCUUACAGACUACAAUCCACCAGAACAUCGGUUCCUUGGACUGGGCAAAAAUGUCAAUCACCGUGAUAAAUUUCCUACGAGAUCGCGGGGUCCCAGAGGAAGCUCUCACACUAAUGGAAGAGCAAAAGGUAUGUUGUGGCAACUGAGAUGCAGAAGUCUCUGUUGAACCUGAUGACCUUUUGGAGGUCCUCAACAACUACGAAUGCAGAAGAAGAGCCUCAGCAGAUGCCCUUCCAGGAAUUCUGGAAGAGAUUUCCCACAAAGAACUUGUGCAAAAGCCAAAGUUUGUAAUUGAUUGUUGGAGGGACAUCACAAAAUCACAGAUGAGUCUGAAUUAUGAAAAGCUGACCAAGAUGUACACCAACCUCAAACCAACAACUAAGAAGGUGUCAAGGCUGUUGAAGUUCCCAGCAGAUAUGACGGCAAAGCAAAAAGAGGUCGAACAUCAUCUCAGACGGUAUAUUAGGGAACUGGAUGAAGCAAAACUUGGUAAAUUUCUAAGAUUCUGCACAGGAUCCGAUUUGAUUCUGUCACAGUAUAACUGUUGAGUUCACAGUGAUGUCUGAUUUCACAAGACGUCCAAUUGGACGAACAUGUGGAAUGUUCCUAGAGCUACCUGACUGCUACGAAAAUAUCCCAGACUUUCGUGCUGAAUUCGAUGAAAUUCUUGACAGCAACGUCUGGGUGAUGGACAUUGUGUAACAAAAUAUGCAGCCCCUCAACCGUGAUUGUGGCCAUACUGCUUCCAAGCCAUCAUUUCUAAAAUGAUGCAAAAGGCUUGCUUGAUGCACAAAAAACUUCAGAAAUAUACAGGACUGUC